rnacentral:rRNA from 1 species
GUUGAACGCUGGCGGCAGGCCUAACACAUGCAAGUCGAACGGUAACAGGAAGCAGCUUGCUGCUUCGCUGACGAGUGGCGGACGGGUGAGUAAUGUCUGGGAAACUGCCUGAUGGAGGGGGAUAACUACUGGAAACGGUAGCUAAUACCGCAUAACGUCGCAAGACCAAAGAGGGGGACCUUAGGGCCUCUUGCCAUCGGAUGUGCCCAGAUGGGAUUAGCUAGUAGGUGGGGUAACGGCUCACCUAGGCGACGAUCCCUAGCUGGUCUGAGAGGAUGACCAGCCACACUGGAACUGAGACACGGUCCAGACUCCUACGGGAGGCAGCAGUGGGGAAUAUUGCACAAUGGGCGCAAGCCUGAUGCAGCCAUGCCGCGUGUAUGAAGAAGGCCUUCGGGUUGUAAAGUACUUUCAGCGGGGAGGAAGGGAGUAAAGUUAAUACCUUUGCUCAUUGACGUUACCCGCAGAAGAAGCACCGGCUAACUCCGUG